UACCAGCUCCCUGAGUGGUAAGGACGAUUAUUUGGCCUAAAGCGUCCGUAGCCGGCUUAUCAAGUCUCUUGUUAAACCCAAUGAUUCAAUCAUUGAUCUGCAAGAGAUACUGUUAUGCUAGAGGACGGGAGAGGUCGACGGUAGUCCAGGGGUAGGGGUGAAAUCCUAUAAUCCUUGGAGGACCACCAGUGGCGAAGGCGGUCGACUAGAACGUGCCUGACGGUGAGGGACGAAAGCUGGGGGAGCGAACCGGAUUAGAUACCCGGGUAGUCCCAGCUGUAAACGAUGCGGGCUAGGUGUUGGGGUAGCUACGAGCUACUGCAGUGCCGCAGAGAAGUUGUUAAGCCCGCCGCCUGGGGAGUACGGCCGCAAGGCUGAAACUUAAAGGAUUGGCGGGGAGCACCACAAGGGGUGAAGGCUGCGGUUU
rnacentral:rRNA from 1 species